AUUGAACGCUGGCGGCAUGCCUUACACAUGCAAGUCGAACGGUAACGCGGGGCAACCUGGCGACGAGUGGCGAACGGGUGAGUAAUGUAUCGGAACGUGCCCAGUUGUGGGGGAUAAGUGCUCGAAAGAGCAGCUAAUACCGCAUACGACCUGAGGGUGAAAGCGGGGGAUCGCAAGACCUCGCGCAAUUGGAGCGGCCGAUAUCAGAUUAGGUAGUUGGUGGGGUAAAGGCUCACCAAGCCGACGACCUGUAGCUGGUCUGAGAGGACGACCAGCCACACUGGGACUGAGACACGGCCCAGACUCCUACGGGAGGCAGCAGUGGGGAAUUUUGGACAAUGGACGCAAGUCUGAUCCAGCCAUGCCGCGUGCGGGAAGAAGGCCUUCGGGUUGUAAACCGCUUUUGUCAGGGAAGAAAAGGCUCCUUCUAAUACAGGGGGCUCAUGACGGUACCUGAAGAAUAAGCACCGGCUAACCACGUGCCAGCCGCCGCAGUAA
rnacentral:rRNA from 1 species